UUGUAUGCUGGCGAAACAAAACUAUCCAUAGCCGCUGCAUGUUUAUGCACCUGUCCUGAUUGAUUGAGGGGCCUGUCGUUCAGCAGUUAUCGUUUGUUGAUGUUGUUCAUUGGUAUUUUCCCGUUUGGAUAUACAUGAUAUAUAAAUUAGAUCGUUGGUUUUCCUGUUCGAAUUGUGUAUACGCUAAUAAUUUUGGGGUCCUUUAUAGCCUGCUGUUUGGUCUGUAUCAAAGCCCUGUGUAAAAGGCCGUACUUUGACCUGUGUUUGUUAUUAUCAGGUUGAGAAGAACCCUCCCUCAGAC
rnacentral:lncRNA from 1 species